UUCAGCCAUGUCUUCCUAGGAUCCAGCAUCCAAACCUGGACCAAAGUCCUCGGAUCCUCAGCAAUGGGGGUGCAUCUGGUGAUGGUGUUCAUGCUAAAUUUGUGCCAAGAGACACCUGUACUUGUGGGAGAAUUAAUAUUUCACUUCUGUUUAGGUUUCUUUUCUGGGAGCUGCUAUCACUGAAUACAUAAAGAAAUUGAGCCUAUAUGAUUUCAAUCUUCACCUUCUGAUGCUGAUGAAACAGGAUUCUAUGCAGAGAAAAUCCUCUCCAGUCAAGUAAUUGCAUCCAUUUCAUCUUCCCAGCCCUCCUCUAGAUGGGAGGUGGAGGACAGUGGGGACCCCAGCCAGAGCCUGGGGACUUGGCUGCCUUGGAACCAGAACCUGGCCCCUCAGAGGAGUUGCAGAAUUUCGAUAGAGGAGUGGCAGGAGGUGUACUGGCUGAAGAGGAGGCCCAAGGAACUCCUUUUCAUACAUCAAAACUGAGCUUAUCACCUCUACCCUGAAGUCAUCCUGGACAUCACUGGUCCCAGUUAAUCACUCACUUAUCUUUGCCAUCCUUGACCUGGGAAGAGAACGUUGCCCUCAUUGGUCUGGAAUCAGCAGGUACCUCAUGGCU
rnacentral:lncRNA from 1 species